UACGUAGGUGGCAAGCGUUGUCCGGAUUUAUUGGGCGUAAAGAGCGCGCAGGCGGCUGGGCAAGUCCGAUGUGAAAGCUUCCGGCUUAACUGGAAAAUUGCAUCGGAAACUGCUCGGCUUGAAGGUGGGAGAGGGUAGCGGAAUUCCCGGUGUAGUGGUGAAAUGCGUAGAUAUCGGUAGGAACACCAGUGGCGAAGGCGGUUUCCUGGGGCAUUCUUGACGCUGAGGCGCGAAAGCUGGGGGAGCGAACGGG
rnacentral:rRNA from 1 species